rnacentral:snoRNA from 1 species
UGGUCUUUACCAAGGUUUUUAGAAUGCAGUUUCUCAUUUGCUGUGGACAUGACUGUUAAAAAAAAAUCCCCACUAGGUUUUAUAUAUGCUAUUUGGCUAGCAGUCAAUCUAUUGGGAACAUUU